AGUGAACGCUGGCGGUAGGCCUAACACAUGCAAGUCGAACGGCAGCACAGUAAGAGCUUGCUCUUACGGGUGGCGAGUGGCGGACGGGUGAGGAAUACAUCGGAAUCUACUUUUUCGUGGGGGAUAACGUAGGGAAACUUACGCUAAUACCGCAUACGACCUACGGGUGAAAGCAGGGGAUCUUCGGACCUUGCGCGAUUGAAUGAGCCGAUGUCGGAUUAGCUAGUUGGCGGGGUAAAGGCCCACCAAGGCGACGAUCCGUAGCUGGUCUGAGAGGAUGAUCAGCCACACUGGAACUGAGACACGUUCCAGUCUCCUACGGGAGGCAGCAGUGGGGAAUAUUGGACAAUGGGCGCAAGCCUGAUCCAGCCAUCCCGCGUGGGUGAAGAAGGCCUUCGGGUUGUAAAGCCCUUUUGUUGGGAAAGAAAAGCAGCAGGUUAAUACCCCGCUGUUCUGACGGUACCCAAAGAAUAAGCACCGGCUAACUUCGUG
rnacentral:rRNA from 1 species